AGUGAACGCUGGCGGUGGGCCUAACACAUGCAAGUCGAACGGCAGCACAGUAAGAGCUUGCUCUUACGGGUGGCGAGUGGCGGACGGGUGAGGAAUACAUCGGAAUCUACUUUUUCGUGGGGGAUAACGUAGGGAAACUUACGCUAAUACCGCAUACGACCUACGGGUGAAAGCAGGGGAUCUUCGGACCUUGCGCGAUUGAAUGAGCCGAUGUCGGAUUAGCUAGUUGGCGGGGUAAAGGCCCACCAAGGCGACGAUCCGUAGCUGGUCUGAGAGGAUGAUCAGCCACACUGGAACUGAGACACGGUCCAGACUCCUACGGGAGGCAGCAGUGGGGAAUAUUGGACAAUGGGCGCAAGCCUUAUCCAGCCAUACCGCGUGGGUGAAGAAGGCCUUCGGGUUGUAAAGACCUUUUGUUGGGAAAGAAAAGCAGCAGGUUAAUACCCCGCUGUUCUGACGGUACCCAAAGAAUAAGCACCGGCUAACUUCGUG
rnacentral:rRNA from 1 species